UUUUCGCUUUAAUGUUAGCUCCUCAGGUGCAUAUUUACAAUGAGUGGAUUCCACUCAUUGUAAAUAUGCACCUGAGGAGCUAACAUUAAAGCGAAAACGUU
rnacentral:miRNA from 1 species